GCACAACGCGAAGAACCUUACCCACCUUUGACAUGUACGGAAUCCUUUAGAGAUAGAGGAGUGCUCGAAAGAGAGCCGUAACACAGGUACUGCAUGGCUGUCGUCAGCUCGUGUCGUGAGAUGUUGGGUUAAGUCCCGCAACGAGCGCAACCCUUGCCAUUAGUUGCUACGAAAGGGCACUCUAAUGGGACUGCCGGUGACAAACCGGAGGAAGGUGGGGAUGACGUCAAGUCCUCAUGGCCCUUAUAGGUGGGGCUACACACGUCAUACAAUGGCUGGUACAAAGGGUUGCCAACCCGCGAGGGGGAGCUAAUCCCAUAAAGCCAGUCGUAGUCCGGAUCGCAGUCUGCAACUCGACUGCGUGAAGUCGGAAUCGCUAGUAAUCGUGGAUCAGAAUGUCACGGUGAAUACGUUCCCGGGUCUUGUACACACCG
rnacentral:rRNA from 1 species